UGAACAUUGAUUGGAUCCCAGCAAGAUUACUUUGUAGCCCAUAUUGGAGACUGGAAUCUUCGAUCUUCAUCGGCAAGUACUUCAAGUCCUCCUGACUUUCAGCAAGCAAGGUUGUUCAUCUACAUAUUGAAGGUUGUUCCUAAGCUGUUCUCCAAACUUGGCGUUGCACUCUUCAUACCUGUAUCAGGUAGCAAGUCUCUUGAUGACGUCAAAACUGCCAUUUGAUGGAGUGAAGAAUUCUGUGGACGUAGAAAAGAAGACAUCUAAAACCUAAGUUUCCUGCAGCCUGUGUCACCCAAAGUCGAAGACACACUUGUGACCCCUUGCGCUCUUUGGGUACGAUGUUCUUGAUGUCACCCCACAACUCACCUGGUCAGAAGUGUUUGCGCCAAAUCUGUUCCUCAGACAGUCUCCAAAUGCAGGAUCUAAUUCAGGAAUCACCUCGGAUGUGUUGACACGUCUCCUUAGUUUCCUCUGACCUGAGACAACUUCCUGGUCUUGAAGAGAACUUCCAGAGUGUUGGAGUGAUAUGGAAACACAUACCAAGACAGUGGUGUUUGGUGAAGUGGAGUGGAAGGCAGCCCUGCCUCCUCACUGCCAGGAAGCACUUCAGAACAGCCUGAAAAUAAGAGGGAAAAAGGAGAAAAUUCUCCUGGAGUUGGCAUAAGACACCAGAGAGUGUCCCUUAGCUCAGGGGUGCCUGGGAGCAGAACUGAGAUUCUUGCAAUUAUGAACAUGCUGCCAAGUAAAAGUGCUAUUUCUAAGUGAGGAGCACAAUUCCUCGCAGGAAUAAUUACAGUAACUUUUUUUCUUACUAAAUAUUUCAACUCUCCGUGGCUGGGAGACUUGAUGCAAUCCAGAGGGACUACAAUGGCUGAUUUCAUGGAGCCAGCUGGUCUAAGAGUCUGAAUUCCAUUUCUAGGAAUGCACUCAAAGCCUGGAAUGUUCACAAAACCUGGUAUCUCUUAACUGGUGUCCAGGUUUAAAAAGGUAGUCCGUUCUGCUUCCUGCCUAUGGUAAUUUCAUUAUUUUAAGAUAGAUAAGGGCAUAUGGUUGAG